rnacentral:rRNA from 1 species
GACGGAGGAUGCAAGUGUUAUCCGGAAUCACUUGGGCGGUAAAGCGUCUGUAGGUUGGUUAAAUAAGUCAACUGUUUAAAUCUUUGAGGCUCAACUUCAAAAUCGCAGUCGAAACUAUUAGACUAGAGUAUAGUAGGGGUAAAGGGAAUUCCCAGUGGAGCGGUGAAAUGACGUAGAGAUUGGAAAGAACACCAAUGGCGAAAGCACUUUACUGGGCUAUUACUGACACUAGAGACGAAAAGCUAGGGUAGCAAAUGGG